rnacentral:rRNA from 1 species
UUGAUUAAGUAAUCAAAUUUUUGUAUCAAUUCUUUUCUUUAACAUUUGCAUUAAUCAUUUUGUCAAACGUUAUUCUUUAAUCUUUUUCUUUAGUUUUGUUUCACUCCUGUAAGAAACUCUUGUAUUGUAAGUUGUAAGAAAGAGCCAUUAUACCAAUUCAAAAUUUCUACUAGAAAUGACGAAUGGUUAAAAAAAGUUCUAUACAUAAGAAAAUUAGACUUUCUUCCACGGAACUAUUCACGGCAUAUCACACAUUUUCCAUUUCCUUUUACUUUUUACUAUAGUCUAUUCUUACUAUUAUUUUUCUUUCCUUCCAUGGAUUCUUUGGUCAAGAAUUGUC